rnacentral:rRNA from 1 species
CCUACGGGUGGCAGCAGUGAGGAAUAUUGGUCAAUGGGCGGGAGCCUGAACCAGCCAAGUCGCGUGAGGGAAGACGGUCCUAUGGAUUGUAAACCUCUUUAGGCGGGGAGCAAUGCCGGGCACGUGUGCCCGGCCGGAGAGUACCCGCAGACUAAGCCUCGGCUAACUCCGUGCCAGCAGCCGCGGUAAUCCGGAGAUGCGGGCGUUUUCCGGAUUUAUUGGGGUUAAAGGGUGCGUAGGCGGAUUUUUAAGUCAGCGGUAAAAUGUCCGGGCUCAACCCGGGCCGGCCGUUGAAACUGGGGGGCUGGAGUGGGCGAGAAGUAGGCGGAAUGCGUGGUGUAGCGGUGAAAUGCAUAGAUAGCACGCAGAACCCCGAUUGCGAAGGCAGCAUACCGGCGCCCGACUGACGCUGAGGCACGAAAGCGUGGGGAUCGAACAGGAUUAGAUACCCCAGUAGUC